UGAGUAGCACAGGUGAUUGCGGCUGUCAGUUUAUCUGACAGGUGAGGAAAGUCCGAGCUUCACAGGGCAGGAUGCUGGAUAACGUCCAGUGGAGGUGACUCCCAGGCUAGUGCAACAGAAAUAAACCGCCGCAUUAUGCGGUAAGGGUGGAAAGGUGAGGUAAGAGCUCACCGCCUUUCUGGUGACAGAAAGGGCACAUGUAAACCCCAUCCGAAGCAAGACCGAACAGAAGACGAUACGGCUGCCCGUCGUGUCUUCGGGUUGGUCGCUUGAACCUGGUGGUAACAUCAGGUCUAGAUAGAUAAUCACCCAACGACAGAACUCGGCUUAUCGUGCUACUCAUUUU
rnacentral:RNase_P_RNA from 1 species